GUUAUAUCAAGAGUGGUGGUAGAGAAUUGGCUCAAAGACCCCACAGCAACCCACAAAUGGGUGCUAAUUCCAACCUGUAUUAUUAAAUUAAUACUAGGAAAGAUAGGUU
rnacentral:ncRNA from 2 species